rnacentral:rRNA from 1 species
GGGAUAACUCCGGGAAACCGGGGCUAAUACCGGAUAACAUUUUGAACAGCAUGGUUCGAAAUUGAAAGGCGGCUUCCGCUGUCACUUAUGGAUGGACCCGCGUCGCAUUAGCUAGUUGGUGAGGUAACGGCUCAACAAGGCAACGAUGCGUAGCCAACCUGAGAGGGUGAUCGGCCACUCUGGGACUGAGACACGGCCCAGACUCCUACGGGAGGCAGCAUUAGGGAAUCUUCCGCAAUGGACGAAAGUCUGACGGAGCAACGCCGCGUGAGUGAUGAAGGCUUUCGGGUCGUUAACUCUGUUGUUAGGGAAGAACAUGUGCUAGUUGAAUAAGCUGGCACCUUGACGGUACCUAACCAGAAAGCCACGGCUAACUACGUGCCAGCAGCCGCGGUAAUACGUAUGUGGCAAGCGUUAUCCGGAAUUAUUGGGCGUA